rfam:Salmo salar isolate Sally breed double haploid chromosome ssa11, whole genome shotgun sequence.
UCCCGUGUGGCUCAGUUGGUAGAGCAUGGUGUUUGCAACGCCAGGGUUGUGAGUUCGAUUCCCACGGGGG